ACCCCCGACGCACCGUGGGAGGCGGGGCCGUAUGUUCAUGGUUUCCCGGCAGAGCACUGCCGUUGUCUUGCCGGGGACCGGCCCCGGAAACCUUGGCUGUUUCUCGGCUGCCAGGCCUGCGCUCCGUCAGCUACCUACCUAUCAGGGGCUGAAGACCGAAGGACCUAAGUUCGUUCUGAAAGCACACGCAUAUCCAUCCUUUUAGUUCUCCGAAACUGAUGGAGUGUGGAAGACCACUUCGAGGGUUACCCCAGUGGACAGCACAGUCGUCCCGGACUUGCCGAGCACAUCGGUUGAGGGACCGAGCCUACCUACGUGAACUAUCCAAGUCACAGCUGAGUUGGGACCCGAAGAAUGCAUCUGAGUUACCCAAAAGAAGAAUGGACGGAAGAGUGUUCCAAGCAGAGAACUGCGUGCGAAAAGGCCCAGCGAUUUGGUUCGAUACCCAUCCCCGACAAGCAAGCAAACAAACAAACAAAACCGGAGAGAGAGAAAGACAAACCUUUGGGAUCCGGGAACUGAAAUUCUUUAUAGCCGGAGCAGCAGGUGUGGUUAGGGAGAUGGGCGGGGGAAGGAUGCAGCUCCUGUCAUUUGGAGCCUAAUAUGCUAUACUAAGGAUUACUUGGGAAAAGAAAGAAGUCCCAGAUAGGGAUGAUGUUCAGAUUCUGGUUUAGGAAGCUGGUGGCAAGUGGGCCCUUUAUCAAAAUAAAAAAGUUCAAAAACAGAGAAGAUGAUGUGUGGAAGAAAUAAAUUCGGUUUAUACCUUUUCAGUUUGAGGUCAACUAUGAAAAAGGUAGCUCCAGAAUUGAUUUUUCUUUUCUUUUUUCUUUUUUUUAGAACUUAGAAUAUAAGAGCAUAAGUAAUAAUUUGAAACUGCUCUCAGAACUGUUGGAGCUCAUUAAUCCAUUAAUUCUGGUAGUGAACUUAGGAAUUAGUUCUUUGAGAAGGCUAAUGAAUUCUUGCUUCCUUACUCCCCUUUGCCCUUUUCUGUAUAAAUUUUAUUUUUUCCACAAAGUUACACAUACAAAUGUAAAUGCCUUAAAAUAAUGAAGAAAUUAUGUCAUACAGAGAGGUCCUUGGAAAUAAAUACUUACUUCAGUG
rnacentral:lncRNA from 1 species